rnacentral:tRNA from 1 species
GCCUGGCUGGCUCAGUCAGAAGAGCGUACGACUCUUGAUCUUAGGGUCAUGGAUUCAAGCCCCAUGUUAGGUG